rnacentral:rRNA from 1 species
CACCAGGUUGAUUCUGCCUGACGUAGAUGCUAGUCUCCGAGAUUAAGCCAUGCAUGUCUGUGUAGCAAGGACGAACAGCUCAGUAGAACUGCGAUGAUUUGCUCUGGCCGGAACGAUAACCACGGGAAAAUGUGGCUAAGAGGGGGCAGAAUAAGACGUAGGACUAUCAGUUAGUUGGUAGUGUAGUGGACUACCAAGACGGUAACGGUUGACGGGGAAUGAGGGUUCUAUGCCGGAGAGGGAGCCUGAGAGAUUGCUCCCACGUCCAAGGACGGCAGCAGGCGCGAAAAUUGCCCACUGUUUUAGGAGGCAGUUACGAGACGUGAGAGCGAGUGCUUGGCAAAGAGAAGCAGGAGAAUUGGAGGGCAAGUUUGGUGCCAGCAGCCGCGGUAAUACCGACUCCAAGAGUGUGUGUGAGAGAUGCUGCAGUUAAAAAGUCCGUAGUCAGGCUUAGUAAACAGGGGGCGACCCCUAGCGCGCGAGGUUGAGGAGCCAAUGGGGAGCACAGUAUACCAGGGCGAGAGAUGAAAUGUCAAGACCCCUGGUGGACUCGGCGAGGCGAAAGCGGUGCUCUGGUGGGCGUCCGGUGAUCAAGGACGAAGGCUGGAGGAUCGAAAGUGAUUAGAUACCGCAGUAGUUCCAGCAGUAAAAGAUGCCGACACGCCUGCGGGGGACCGCGGGCGGGGAGAAAUCUUAGAGUUCGGGCUCUGGGGAUAGUAUGCUCGCAAGAGUGAAAAUUAAAGAAAUU